AGUGUUGACGGGCGGUGCGUGGGCACGCUUCGGCGUGGCCGGUUUCCAAGUAGCCGGUUUUCCACCCCACGCACCGUCCGUCGCCCAU
rnacentral:antisense_RNA from 1 species